UGCAGUCGAACGGUAACAGGAAGCAGCUUGCUGCUUCGCUGACGAGUGGCGGACGGGUGAGUAAUGUCUGGGAAACUGCCUGAUGGAGGGGGAUAACUACUGGAAACGGUGGCUAAUACCGCAUAACGUCGCAAGACCAAAGAGGGGGACCUUCGGGCCUCUUGCCAUCAGAUGUGCCCAGAUGGGAUUAGCUUGUUGGUGAGGUAACGGCUCACCAAGGCGACGAUCCCUAGCUGGUCUGAGAGGAUGACCAGCCACACUGGAACUGAGACACGGUCCAGACUCCUACGGGAGGCAGCAGUGGGGAAUAUUGCACAAUGGGCGCAAGCCUGAUGCAGCCAUGCCGCGUGUAUGAAGAAGGCCUUCGGGUUGUAAAGUACUUUCAGCGGGGAGGAAGGUGUUGUGGUUAAUAACCGCAGCAAUUGACGUUACCCGCAGAAGAAGCACCGGCUAACUCCGUGCCAGCAGCCGCGGUAAUACGGAGGGUGCAAGCGUUAAUCGGAAUUACUGGGCGUAAAGCGCACGCAGGCGGUCUGUCAAGUCGGAUGUGAAAUCCCCGGGCUCAACCUGGGAACUGCAUUCGAAACUGGCAGGCUUGAGUCUUGUAGA
rnacentral:rRNA from 1 species